rnacentral:rRNA from 1 species
UGGGGAAUAUUGGACAAUGGGCGGAAGCCUGAUCCAGCCAUGCCGCGUGUGUGAAGAAGGCCUUUUGGUUGUAAAGCACUUUAAGCGAGGAGGAGGCUCUUCUAGUUAAUACCUAGGAUGAGUGGACGUUACUCGCAGAAUAAGCACCGGCUAACUCUGUGCCAGCAGCCGCGGUAAUACAGAGGGUGCGAGCGUUAAUCGGAUUUACUGGGCGUAAAGCGUGCGUAGGCGGCUGAUUAAGUCGGAUGUGAAAUCCCCGAGCUUAACUUAGGAAUUGCAUUCGAUACUGGUUAGCUAGAGUAUGGGAGAGGAUGGUAGAAUUCCAGGUGUAGCGGUGAAAUGCGUAGAGAUCUGGAGGAAUACCGAUGGCGAAGGCAGCCAUCUGGCCUAAUACUGACGCUGAGGUACGAAAGCAUGGGGAGCAAACAGG